rnacentral:misc_RNA from 1 species
GAUGAAGAACGCAGCGAAAUGCGAUAAGUAGUGUGAAUUGCAGAAUUCAGUGAAUCAUCGAAUCUUUGAACGCACAUUGCGCCCCUUGGUAUUCCAUGGGGCAUGCCUGUUCGAGCGUCAUUUGUACCUUCAAGCCUUGCUUGGUGUUGGGUGUUUGUCUCGCCUCUGCGCGCAGACUCGCCUCAAAACAAUUGGCAGCCGGCGUAUUGAUUUCGGAGCGCAGUACAUCUCGCGCUUUGCACUCAGAACGGCGACGUCCAAAAGUACAUUUUUACACUCUUGACCUCGGAUCAGGUAGGGAUACCCGCUGAACUUAAGCAUAUCAAUAAGCGGAGGA